ACGGGUGAGUAAUACAUCGGAACGUGCCCAAUCGUGGGGGAUAACGCAGCGAAAGCUGUGCUAAUACCGCAUACGAUCUACGGAUGAAAGCAGGGGAUCGCAAGACCUUGCGCGAAUGGAGCGGCCGAUGGCAGAUUAGGUAGUUGGUGAGGUAAAGGCUCACCAAGCCUUCGAUCUGUAGCUGGUCUGAGAGGACGACCAGCCACACUGGGACUGAGACACGGCCCAGACUCCUACGGGAGGCAGCAGUGGGGAAUUUUGGACAAUGGGCGAAAGCCUGAUCCAGCCAUGCCGCGUGCAGGAUGAAGGCCUUCGGGUUGUAAACUGCUUUUGUACGGAACGAAACGGCCUUUUCUAAUAAAGAGGGCUAAUGACGGUACCGUAAGAAUAAGCACCGGCUAACUACGUGCCAGCAGCCGCGGUAAUACGUAGGGUGCAAGCGUUAAUCGGAAUUACUGGGCGUAAAGCGUGCGCAGGCGGUAAUGUAAGACAGUUGUGAAAUCCCCGGGCUCAACCUGGGAACUGCAUCUGUGACUGCAUUGCUGGAGUACGGCAGAGGGGGAUGGAAUUCCGCGUGUAGCAGUG
rnacentral:rRNA from 2 species